GCUAAACAUGACAGUGUGUGUAUACUGCAAAAACCAAGCUGAAACUAUUCUGAAAAAGGAGGGGAGCUGUUAUUUUUGCACACAUUUUUAGCAGUCAUCUGGACAACCCAGAAGGAUUGAAGACAAUUUUGCUGUCUUUUCAGUUCCCUAAAAUUUACAACAUCUUGAUCUAUAAAAGGGUCUCCCUCUUCUUGCCUUCUCCAUUCAAGCAACAGCAGUUGUGUCCCUCUCAUCCUUCAGGGAUCUUUGACAGAUUCCCU
rnacentral:lncRNA from 11 species